rnacentral:lncRNA from 10 species
UGAGGGUCAAGGAGCUGGAGGCCUGGGGAGGAGCUGGUGUUUCUGUUCAAGUUUGAGGGUCCUGGAGCUGGAGCCCAGGGGAGGAGCCAGUGCUGCCACUGAUGUCUUAGGGUCGUGGAGCUGAAGAUCCCAGAGGAGCCGGUGCUGCUAUUCUAGCUUGAGUUUCGUGGAGCUGGAGACCCAGGGAGAAGAUGGUGCUGCUGUUCUAAUUUAAGGAUCGUGAAACAGAAGACCCAGAAAGGAGCUGGUGCUGCCGCUGCUCAGAUCUGAGGGUGUUGGAGCUGGAGCCUGGGGGUGGAGCCAUUGCUGCCAUUGAAGUGUGAGAGUCAUUGAGCUGGAAGUCCAGGAAGCAGCUGGUGCUGCUGUUCUAGUUUGAGGGUUGUGGAGUGCAGACCCAGGCAGGAGCAACAUUGCUGUAGUUCGAGGGUCAGAAAGCUGGCGACCCAGGGAGGAGAGGUCUUGUUCUAGUUUGAUUUUCGUGGAGCUGCAGACCCAGGCAGGAGCAAUGUUGCUGUAGUUCGAGGGUCCGGUAGCUGGCAACCCGGGGAGGAGAAGUCUUGUUCGAGUUUGAGGGUCGUGGAGCUGCCGACCCAGGGAGGAGCAAUUUGGUUGUAAUUUGAGGGUCCAGAAGCUGGAGACCCAGGGAGGAGAGAGAUCUUGUUCUGGUCUGAGGGUUGUGGAGCCACAGACCCAGGGAGGAGCAAUUUUGUUGUAAUUUGAGGGUCAGGAAGCUGGCGACCCAGGGAGGAGAGGUCUUGUUCUAGUUUGAGGGUCGUGGAGCUGCCGACCCAGGGAGGAGCAAUUUUGUUGUAAUUCGAGGAUCAGGAAGCUGGCGACCCAGUGGAGGAGAGGUCUUGUUCUGGUCUGAGGGUCAUGGAGCUGCAGACCCAGGGAGGAGCAAUGUUGUUGUAAUUCGAGGGUGUGGUAGCUGGCAACCUGGGGAGGAGAAGUCUUGUUCGAGUUUGAGGCUCGUGGAGCUGCCGACCAGGGAGGAGCAAUUUUGUUGCAGUUCGAGGGUCAGGAAGCUGGCGACCCAGGGAGGAGAGGUCUUGUUCUAGUUUGAGGGUCGUGGAGCUGCAGACCCAUGGAGGAGCAAUUUUGUUGUAAUUCGAGGGUCUGGAAGCUGGAGACCCAGGGAGGAGAGGUCUUGUUCUAGUUUGAGGGUCGUGGAGCUGCCGAACCAGGGAGGAGCAAUGUUGUUGUAAUUGGAGGGUCCGGAAGCUGGCGACCCAGGGAGGAGAGGUCUUGUUCUGGUGUGAAGGUCGUGGAGCUGCAGACCCAGGGAGGAGCAAUUUUGUUGUAAUUCAAGGGUCCGGUAGCUGGCAACCCAGGGAAGAGAAGUGUUGUUGGAGUUUGAGGGUCGUGGAGCUGCCGACCCAGGGAGGAGCAGUUUGGUUGUAAUUCGAGGGUCAGGAAGCUGGCGACCCAGGGGAGGAGAGGUCUUCUUCUGGUCUGAGGGUCGUGGAGCUGCAGACCCAGGGAGGAGCAAUGUUGUUGUAAUUCGAGGGUCUGGUAGCUGGCAACCUGGGGAGGAGAAGUCUUGUUCGAGUUUGAGGCUGGUGGAGCUGCUGAUCAGGGAGGAGCAAUUUUGUUGUAGUUCGAGGGUCAGGAAGCUGGUGACCCAGGGAGGAGAGGUCUUGUUCUGGUCUGAGGGUCCUGGAGCUACAGACCCAGGGAGGAGCAAUGUUGUUGUAAUUUGAGGGUUCGGUAGCUGGCACCCUGGGGAGGAGAAGUCUUGUUCUAGUUUGAGGGUGGUGGAGCUGCAGAGCCAGGGAGGAGCAGUGUUGUUGUAGUUUGAGGGUCAUGGAGGUACAGACCCAGGGAGGAGCCGUGUUGUUUUGAGUGUCGUGGAGCCGGAGAUCCACGGAGGAGCUGGUGCUGCCUUUCCAGUCUGAGAGUCAUUUAGCUGGAGAUCCAGGGAGGAACCGGUUUUGCUGUACUAGUCUGAGGGUAGUGAAUCUUGAGCCGGAAGGAGGAGUGGGUGCUGCUGUUCAUGCCUGAGUGUUAUGGAACUGGAGAACCAGAAAGGAGCUGGUGCUGCUGUUUUAGUUUGAGGGUAGUGGCGCUGGAGAUCCUGGGAAGAGCCGGUGCCAUCGUUUACAUCUGUGGGUUCUGCAGCUGGAGCCCUAGGCAGGAGCUGGUGUUGUUGUUGUUCAAAUCCGAGGUCAUGGGGCUUGAGGUACAGGAAGGAGCUGCUGCUGGUGUUCAAGUCUGAGGGUCGUGUAGCUGGAGAGAGGGGCAGAGGUAGUCUUGGUGUCUAGUGUGAUGGUGGUGGAGCUGGAGACCUGUGGAGGAGCCAGUGCUGCUGUGUAAUUUGAGGAUCAUGGAACUGGAGAUCUAGGGAGGAACCAGUGCUACCGCCAUUUAAGUCAGAAGGUUGUGGAUCUGGAGUUUUGGGGAACAGCCCAUGCUGCUGUUUAACUGUGGGGAGGAUCCUGUGUGUCAGUUGAAGUUUGAGGGUUUGGGAGCUGGAGAGCCAGGGAGGAGCUGAUGCUGCUGUUCUAGUUUGAGGGGAGUGGAGCUGGAGAUCCUGGGAAGAGCCGGUGCUGUCAUUUAAAUCUAUAGGUCCCGAAGCUGGAACCCUGGUGGGGAGCCAGUUCUGC